CAUGGAGAGAUGAAGAGAGCAUAGUCUGGCUACCAGCCUCUGAGGCACUUUCACCUGGCCACUGUUUUGUAUUUGGGCAAGAGAGCACCUUUGGUUGUUGUUUGGAACGCUUGGGUUCGACACAGAGGCUGUGUGUGUUUGGCUGGAGACUGCAGGCAGCAGGAGCUCAUAUGGGCUUGCUCAAAUGCCCUAGGAUUAAGAAGAACUGUGAAACGAUAACGUGCAAAUGAGAUAAAGAACUGAACUGAAGGUUGGACAUAGCUGUUUUUAAGGAUGUGAGACAGAGGCCUGCUGAACAUCUUAUCUUAAAACUCCAGAAUACCUCUCCAGUGGCAGAUUAGCAGUGGUGACACAAAGCAAAUAAGCAGAGCUGACACGUGCAUGUGAUAAUCAUUCUCCGUCUACUGGCAAUGUCUGCAGACAUUUACCUCUCCUCU